ACUGCAGCUAUUUGAAGGGAAUUGUACUCAUUUCCCAUUUAUGAAGUUCAAGUGCAAAUAUAAAUCCUUUCUAACAUUCUAUUUUUAGUUGUAAACAGUGCAAACAUCACCGUUAAAAGUGUUACAUACUCAACAUUUCUGAGAAAUUCCUGAUUCAAAACAAAGUUAAAAGGUCUCAAUGACACAGGUUGAUGUGUAUAUAAUUGGAAUGGUAAAUGCAAAAUAAACAUUAAUAUAGAACAAUUUCCAAUAAUUUACCUAAAGAAAUGAAGUUCAUAAACAAAACUUUGCUUUCUUCAAUUAUUUUUUUAACUAUUUUUACUGUUUAAAGCAAAUUAAAAAGUAAUAUUCUUAGAAGUCAAUAAGAAAGAUAUUAGAUUUAGUUCAAUUUCCAGGAUAUGUUUAAAAGCUUUUGAAAAUUCUUAUUCGCUUAAAAAAAGAGAUCAAAUAGCAUACUCUAAAGUUCGUAUCUGCUUCUGGUAAUACUUAGAAAACAGUAAAUACCGGAAAAUUGAGGCCGGGGGGGGGGGAUCCUUCUGAAAGCACAAGAACAUUGUUUCUGCAAAAGAAACAAUGUGAGAUCUACAACCAAGCCAAUAUGCUUGUAACAAUACAGCAAAUGUUUAUAAUGAUAAUCUCAUCUUCAAAAUUGUAAUAUUAUACAAAAAUAUUCUAUACUCGGUAUAAUUUAUUUGGAACAUGGCUUUCAGGAAUCCACUUAUAAAAAGUAACCCAUAAAUGUAAUUCUGUACUUAUUUUUAAAAAUAAUCUAAAAUCAGAAAGGUAUUUUUCAAUAGAGAGGAAGAUUUUCUUUUGUUAACAAAUAUUUAGAAUACUUAUGAUUUUAAGUAUAAUGAAAAAACUCACAUUAGCUAUAAAAAUAUUUGAUAAUAGAGAUACAUACCAUGGUAGCAUAAGCCCUUAGGCAAUAGCAGUCCAACUGAUCUACACUUUUGAUUUUGCCUCCAUAAUCAGUCCUGAGACUAUUCUGAUAUUGAUGUUACGCUACUCAUAGUUUGUCUGUAAACAGACUUUUACAUAAUUUCCUUUGUUGAAAAAAAAAGCUUUAAAGUUUUUCUUUAACCAAAAAAACGUUUCUUAGGCAAUGUAGUUUUACUCCUGCUUAUUAGCAUUGUGCUUCUUUAGAAAUGGCAAUCUUCAUAGGAACAAAGUUAACAAACAUUAAAAAAUGUUGACAAAUAUAUUUUGUAUAUGCAUAAUGAAACACAAUAGGCCCAGGAUUGAAUGGGUACAUAAACUAUUACUUUGCAUACUAAAUGUCAAAUUAUUACAGCUUUAGACAAAAUCAGUUUAUCAUUUGUAAAAAUAAGAAAUGACUAUCAGUGGAGAAAAGAUUUAAACUACAAAUGUUUCAAAUUAGAGGGAUACUACAGUUAGUCCUUGACUUAUGAUCACAAGUCUAAAGUUUCUGUUGCUAAGCAAUAUGGUUAAAUGAAUUUUUCCCCAUUUUAUGAUCUUUCUUGCCAGUUGUCAAGUGAAUCACUGUAGUUAAGAAAAACAAUUGUUAACUGAACCUGGCUUCCCCACUGACUUUUUCAGAAGUUUGCAAAAGGUGACCACAGAACCUGGGACACUGCAAACUUUGUAAAUACAUACCAGUUGACAAGCAUCCAAAUUUUAAUCACCUAAUGAUGGGGAUGGUGCAAUGGGUCGUGUGAAAAUCGGUUAGAAGUCACUUUUUGCAGCCUUCAGUCACUAAAUGAAUGGUCGUAAGUCGAGGACUACCUGUAGACUGGAAGGAAAUAGAAGUAGUCCUUGACAUGUGACCACAAUU